CCAGAGCAAGAGCUCCACCUCCUCACCCAGAGCCAGACCUCCACCUCCUGUCAGAAGUCCCCCAGAACAGAUGCUGAUAUAAAUCUGCUGCUGUAGCUGAAAGGCGAGGCUGAGAGGCUGGGGACCGGAGGCUUGUGGUGCCAGGCUGGACCGGAGACUGAGGCUGGAGACCAGCGGCCUGCAGCACCGGACCAGAGGACCAGGAAUCCAUGGCUGAAGGAGCUGAUGGAGGAGCCGUGCUGAAGGAGCUGAUGGAGUAGCCGUGCUGAAGGAGCUGAUGGAGGAGUCGUGCUGAAGGCCCUGCCUUGUGGAGGAGCUGGUGGAGGCCCUGCCUGGUGAAGGACGUCUGUCGUGGGACCAGGACUCUGUCUGAGGAGAGCUGCUGGAGGAGCUGAGACGCUGGAGGACGACUAGGAAUCGACCAACAAGGAUAUCUCAACGUGUUUCUGGAGCGGAGGCGAGCUGGUAGGGGAGCCGUGAAUCCGGAGGAUGACCAUCACUCUACCAACAAGGAUCGCAA